UGUCGUAACAAGGUUUCCGUAGGUGAACCUGCGGAAGGAUCAUUACCUAGAGUUGUAGGCUUUGCCUGCUAUCUCUUACCCAUGUCUUUUGAGUACCUUACGUUUCCUCGGCGGGUCCGCCCGCCGAUUGGACAAUUUAAACCAUUUGCAGUUGCAAUCAGCGUCUGAAAAAACUUAAUAGUUACAACUUUCAACAACGGAUCUCUUGGUUCUGGCAUCGAUGAAGAACGCAGCGAAAUGCGAUAAGUAGUGUGAAUUGCAGAAUUCAGUGAAUCAUCGAAUCUUUGAACGCACAUUGCGCCCCUUGGUAUUCCAUGGGGCAUGCCUGUUCGAGCGUCAUUUGUACCUUCAAGCUCUGCUUGGUGUUGGGUGUUUGUCUCGCCUCUGCGUGUAGACUCGCCUCAAAACAAUUGGCAGCCGGCGUAUUGAUUUCGGAGCGCAGUACAUCUCGCGCUUUGCACUCAUAACGACGACGUCCAAAAGUACAUUUUUACACUCUUGACCUCGGAUCAGGUAGGGAUACCCGCUGAACUUAAGCA
rnacentral:rRNA from 1 species